UGAGGAAUAUUGGUCAAUGGGCGGAAGCCUGAACCAGCCAUCCCGCAUGCAGGAAGACGGCCCUAUGGGUUGUAAACUGCUUUUCCAGGGGGAGAAACUUUCCGAUGAAUCGGGAUUUGACGGCACCCUGGGAAUAAGCAUCGGCUAACUCCGUGCCAGCAGCCGCGGUAAUACGGAGGAUGCGAGCGUUAUCCGGAUUUAUUGGGUUUAAAGGGUGCGUAGGCGGAUCGAUAAGUCAGUGGUGAAAACCUGCAGCUUAACUGUAGACUUGCCGUUGAUACUGUUGGUCUUGAGUAUGGUCAAGGUAGGCGGAAUGUGUAAUGUAGCGGUGAAAUGCUUUGAUAUUACACAGAACACCGAUUGCGAAGGCAGCUUACUGGACCAUCACUGACGCUGAUGCACGAAAGCGUGGGAAUCGAACAG
rnacentral:rRNA from 1 species